rnacentral:SRP_RNA from 1 species
GCUGGGUGUGGUGGUGCACACCUGUAGUCCCAGUUUCUCAGGAGGCUGAGGUGGGAGGAUCGCUUGAGCCCAAGAGGCCAAGGCUGCAGGGAGCUGUGAUUGUGCCACUGCACUCCAGCCUGGGUAACAAAGUGAGACCCCUUUUCAA